rnacentral:ncRNA from 2 species
UUACCAUAAAGAGAAGGCGAGAGACAAGCUCAUCGACCCUUCAGCAACCUACCAUGAGGCAAGGUGCUAAUGCUUGUAUGAUGGAUA